rnacentral:rRNA from 1 species
GACGAACGCUGGCGGCGUGCUUAACACAUGCAAGUCGAACGGAAAGGCCCUGCUUUUGUGGGGUGCUCGAGUGGCGAACGGGUGAGUAACACGUGAGUAACCUGCCCUUGACUUUGGGAUAACUUCAGGAAACUGGGGCUAAUACCGGAUCGGAGCUCCUGCUGCUUGGUGGGGGUUGGAAAGUUUCGGCGGUUGGGGAUGGACUCGCGGCUUAUCAGCUUGUUGGUGGGGUAGUGGCUUACCAAGGCUUUGACGGGUAGCCGGCCUGAGAGGGUGACCGGCCACAGUGGGACUGGGCUACGGCCCAGACUCCUACGGGAGGCAGCAGUGGGGAAUAUUGCACAAUGGGCCGAAGCCUGAUGCAGCAACGCCGCGUGCGGGAUGACGGCCUUCUGGUUGUAAACCGCUUUCGCCUGUGACGAAGCGUGAGUGACGGUAAUGGGUAAAGAAGCACCGGCUAACUACGUG